AGUGAACGCUGGCGGUAGGCCUAACACAUGCAAGUCGAACGGCAGCACAGUAAGAUCUUGCUCUUACGGGUGGCGAGUGGCGGACGGGUGAGGAAUACAUCGGAAUCUACUUUUUCUUGGGGGAUAACGUAGGGAAACUUACGCUAAUACCUCAUACGACCUACGGGUUAAAGCAGGUGAUCUUCGGACCUUGCGCGAUUGAAUGAGCCGAUGUCGGAUUAGCUAGUUGGCGGGGUAAAGGCCCACCAAGGCGACGAUCCGUAGCUGAUCUGAGAGGAUGAUCAGCCACACUGGAACUGAGACACGGUCCAGACUCCUACGGGAGGCAGCAGUAGGGAAUAUUGGACAAUGGGCGAAAGCCUGAUCCAGCAAUACCGCGUGGGUGAAGAAGGUCUUCGGGUUGUAAAGCCCUGUUGUUGGGGAAGAAAAGAAGCAGGAUAAUACAUCGAUGUUCUGACGGUACCCAAAGAAUAAGCACCGGCUAACUACGUG
rnacentral:rRNA from 1 species